rnacentral:rRNA from 1 species
UACGUAGGGGGCGAGCGUUGUCCGGAAUUACUGGGCGUAAAGCGUGCGCAGACGGUUGCGUAAGUCAGAUGUGAAAGCCCCGGGCUCAACCUGGGAAUUGCAUUUGAGACUGCGUAGCUAGGGUGCGGAAGAGGGAAGCGGAAUUUCCGGUGUAGCGGUGAAAUGCGUAGAUAUCGGAAGGAACACCAGUGGCGAAAGCGGCUUCCUGGUCCAGCACCGACGUUCAGGCACGAAAGCGUGGGGAGCAAACAGG